AUGCUCACUUCAAAAGUACAUACACUAAAAUUGGAACGAUACAGAGAAGAUUAGCAUGGCCCCUGCACAAGGAUGACAAGCAAAUUCAUGAAACAGUAAAUAAAUAAUUUU
ensembl:snRNA U6 U6 spliceosomal RNA